CACAAUCCACGUCACCCAAUCCUCCUUCUGCGGGAUGUCAAUAUUUUCCCUGUAACUGUCUGCUUGUUCGAGAGAAAUGAUUUCCAUAGCAACCUCCCUGGUCUCGGAGGAUCUCAGAUCCGAGAAGGCCACGGCUACGGCCCCUUCCUCCAGAUAAAACUAAUAACACACGCACCUACACACACACAUACUUACAUAUACAUAUAAAUAGAUAGAUAGAUAGAUAGAUAGAUAGAUAGAUAGAUAGACAGACAGACAGACAGACAGACAGACAGACAGACAGAUGGAAUUACAGACUAAAUCUUUAUCGAAGAAACUCUGCUUUUGCAAAUUCUCUAGUUCAUCAGUCACAACGUAGAUUCAUAAAACAUUUGUGUAUUUGUAAAUGUCCUAGACUCACCACAGAUGUAUCGCUUUUGAUCAUAAGUUUCCUGAAAGAGGUUAGACCUGGGACUAAGCAACAACAACUACCACAUUAAUAUUUAUAUGGCCGCUUACCUCCCUUCCUACCUUUCUCCACGGUUUUUAUCCAGAUUUAAAAUCAUUUUAUCUUUAACAACUUUUGAUGCUGGAAAACUAGAUUUUCAUCUGAAGUAACCUAUAUUUUUUGCAAUACACACGGGAGUCUUAAAGCGAUGUUUGUAAAAAAAAACUAUUGAUCACGUAAAUCGAUUUUACUGUGAACACAUUCUGUUUAUUAUUGAACACAGCUGAAAGUUCAUAAAGAUAUCUGAUAUGAAUGGGAAAUUGAUAGAUUUUUAUCGAAGUAAUAAAAGUGAACACAGGUCUCGAUCAAUGCUGUGUAAUUUCAUCAGAUAAAUCGAUGUCCUUUAUACCACCAAAAAUACCAAACAUAAAAUAUAUUUGUUUACUACAAACCUUGUUUCUCUUGUGCAGCUUCACCGCACAAUAGCAAAUAAAACACAUAUCGACGUGAUUAAAUGUGAUUAAAACAAGUUAUUUCGUCUAGCAAUGUUGAAGUGGUCACAGCUUCAGAUCAUUGCAAAAAAUGUCUCACGUAUUCAGUGACGUCUCUUUAAGUUCUGAGUUCAAAUCCCAACGUGGUCAGUCUUCUCUUACUUCGCCAUUAAGUCAGCCAAUAACCCCCUGAUGUCCAUCUUGACGUAAGAGGCAUUAAAAAUGGCUUCCUUGUUUAGAGUAUUUCUUUUUUGUUAAUCACCAUAUUGUCUGUUGGAUACAAACAAGUUUGCUACACUUGUCUGGCUAAUAUGAACAUAAUAACUACCGUAAAAUAUUUUCUCGGCGACUCAACCAAUUCUGCCAAUCUACUACCAUGGGCUGGUGUUUUAUUUUAUCAAACCCGAAAAGGUGGAGAGUAAAGUUGACCUCGGCGGUACUUGAACUCAGAUGAAAAAGAGCCACAACCAAUAACGUACGAUAUAUUGUCCGAUGUCCUAAUAAUUCCGUCAAUCCAUCCUUGUGGAGUCCUUCACAAAAAUGUUUUAAGAUUUUUCUCUUAACUGAUAUUGUUAUAAAACAUCCGAGAUGUGAACGGAUGCAAGAUGCAGGCAGUGACUCAACAGCUAAAACUGAUGGGGAAAACUACCUGUCACAGAGAAGUUCAAGAGGUUCAGACUAGCACACCGGUGGAACUGGUUAAGUCGGUGUUAAUAUACGUGAAGUACUGAACUAAUUCACUUUUACUAAACAAAGUUAUCAUUGUUUUUGAAUAGAAGCAGACAUUUUUGCUUCGACAUGGAAUUUGAGCUUUAGGCAAGGGAGAUAACUGCGAAAUUAUAAAAAAAGUUUAUUUUCUCCUUAAUAAAUGUUGUAUGGUGGCGAUGGUGGGCGGUCAAGGUCACGGUGACCUUUAUCACUGAUUGAUAAAAGUAAAAAAUGAAUAAACCUAAAUUUCAAAGUUUAUUUUCAUCCUUAUCAGCUGGAGAACAGGAAGCAGACAGAAAAACUCGGUGAAGUUCGUGUGAAGCUUACAAUUUCUGAAGAUAUCAACAAUAUUCAGAUGUACAAAAUUAUGUCGUCUGCUGCAUUUUGCGUGUGACUGGUGUAAAUAGCUUAGAAUGAAGACGACACAACACAGCAUAAUAUAUAUAUUCGCUUUCUACUGUGAUUUUCACAUUUUUUCUGUUAUUUAGGUGGAGCAAUAUCCAGUAGAAGUGAGAGACGAACCUCCGUUCAAAGGUGACGACUACAGUCUGACUUCGCUCAAUAUCCAUAAUAAUGAAGAUUCCGAGACCACCAAAGUCGAAGACAUGAAGGAAGAAACGGCCAUUCCAGAAGAACGGGACAGCGAGAGAAAACUGUGUGAACUUUAUAACGAAUUGUUUGUUGAAUUAAAGUUUAAUUAAAACAAA